GCCAGAGUGCUGGAAUUGGCAGACAGGCACGGCUUAGAACCGUGUGCCUCCGGGCGUGUGGGUUCAAGUCCCACCUCUGGCA
rnacentral:tRNA from 1 species